rnacentral:rRNA from 1 species
CUACGGGAGGCAGCAGUGGGGAAUCUUGCGCAAUGGGCGGAAGCCUGACGCAGCGACGCCGCGUGGGGGAUGACGGCCUUCGGGUUGUAAACCUCUUUCGCCAGGGACGAAGCGAGAGUGACGGUACCUGGAUAAGAAGCACCGGCCAACUACGUGCCAGCAGCCGCGGUAAU